UACGUAGGGGGCUAGCGUUGUCCGGAAUCAUUGGGCGUAAAGAGCGUGUAGGCGGCCAGGUAGGUCUGCUGUGAAAACUCGAGGCUUAACCUCGAGAUGUCGGCGGAAACCAUCUGGCUAGAGUCCGGAAGAGGAGAAUGGAAUUCCCGGUGUAGCGGUGAAAUGCGCAGAUAUCGGGAAGAACACCCGUGGCGAAGGCGGUUCUCUGGGACGGUACUGACGCUGAGACGCGAAUGCGUGGGGAGCGAACAGG
rnacentral:rRNA from 1 species